UACAGAGGUCCCAAGCGUUGUUCGGAUUCACUGGGCGUAAAGGGUGCGUAGGCGGUCGGGUAAGUCUGAUGUGAAAUCUCACAGCUUAACUGUGAAACUGCAUUGGAUACUACUCGGCUAGAGAGUUGGAGGGGGGACUGGAAUUCUUGGUGUAGCAGUGAAAUGCGUAGAUAUCAAGAGGAACACCAGUGGCGAAGGCGAGUCCCUGGACAACUUCUGACGCUGAGGCACGAAAGCUAGGGGAGCAAACAGG
rnacentral:rRNA from 1 species